AAUUGAAACUUGCGGGUGUCCCCCCAUUUCUUAUUUGAAAUAGGUGGACUGAGAACAUACCGUUUGAACUCGAUCAAGCUAACACUUGCGUGAGGAAGUUUUAUUGUUCAGUA
rnacentral:ncRNA from 1 species